UACCAUUAUCUCGUCUCCUAUACAAAACACACAUAACUUUAAACCUUUAAAACCUAUUUCCAUGACAUAAUUGAUUUUGGUUGAUUUUAAGUCUUUUAGAUGUCUGUUAAAUUAAAUUUUUGACAAGGAUUGGUGAGUUUCUUUUUGCAAUCUUGAAGAGCUUCCGUCUUUGCAACUCUUUUUCUGUUUUCUUUAUUUACUUGUUUAAAAUACUCUCUCAAAGAUAGGUGUUUUGAGAUAGUAAAGUGCAGAUUCGAUAUUGAAUUGAUCUUGAGUCCUUGCUCCUUCAUCAACAACGAUGUAAAUUUCUAAAUUUCGAAUAAGAAAGGGAUUCAAGGAAAUCAACCAAGAUCGAAGUGCACAAAGAGAAACAAUCAAAGGUGAAGGAAGAAAUCAAUCAAAGAUUGAUUGAAGCAUUCAAAAGGAAAAGAAGUACUGACGAUCCGGCGAGAUAAUCAAUCCGAGAUUGAUUAAAGAGUUAAAAAGGAAAAGAAGCAUUGAAGAUCCGACAAGAUAAUCAAUCAGUAGCUAUUAUUGGAAGGACCCAGAAUUAAGGAGUAAAUCCGGCACUAUCAAGACUUAAAAAUGAAAAGUUGUCAAAGUCCACACAUCAAGGAAGAGUAACGAGAAUUAACCUUAUUUUUGGAAAGAAUCAAUUUCUUUCCAAGAAUUAAAUCUCUUGGGUUGGCAAAUCUCUUCAGUAACAGUCUCCUACAAAGUAUUUAUACGCAACCUUAAGUCUUAGAGAGACAUACUUUGAUCAAACCAAUUACCCUCUCUUUAUUCUACUUCAAACAAAUAUUGUAGCUCUA